rnacentral:rRNA from 1 species
ACGAACGCUGGCGGCACGCUUAACACAUGCAAGUCGAACGAGAGAAGAGAAGCUUGCUUUUCUGAUCUAGUGGCGGACGGGUGAGUAACACGUGAGCAAUCUGCCUUUCAGAGGGGGAUACCGAUUGGAAACGAUCGUUAAUACCGCAUAAUAUAAUUGAACCGCAUGAUUUGAUUAUCAAAGAUUUAUCGCUGAAAGAUGAGCUCGCGUCUGAUUAGCUAGUUGGUAAGGUAACGGCUUACCAAGGCGACGAUCAGUAGCCGGACUGAGAGGUUGAUCGGCCACAUUGGGACUGAGACACGGCCCAGACUCCUACGGGAGGCAGCAGUGGGGAAUAUUGCACAAUGGAGGAAACUCUGAUGCAGCGAUGCCGCGUGAGGGAAGAAGGUUUUAGGAUUGUAAACCUCUGUCUUCAGGGACGAAAAAAGACGGUACCUGAGGAGGAAGCUCCGGCUAACUACGUGCCAGCAGCCGCGGUAAUACGUAGGGAGCGAGCGUUGUCCGGAAUUACUGGGUGUAAGGGGAGCGUAGGCGGGAUCGCAAGUCAGAUGUGAAAAUUAUGGGCUUAACCCAUAAACUGCAUUUGAAACUGUGGUUCUUGAGUGAAGUAGAGGUAAGCGGAAUUCCUAGUGUAGCGGUGAAAUGCGUAGAUAUUAGGAGGAACAUCAGUGGCGAAGGCGGCUUACUGGGCUUUAACUGACGCUGAGGCUCGAAAGCGUGGGGAGCAAACAGGAUUAGAUACCCUGGUAGUCCACGCCGUAAACGAUGAUUACUAGGUGUGGGGGGACUGACCCCUUCCGUGCCGCAGCAAACGCAAUAAGUAAUCCACCUGGGGAGUACGACCGCAAGGUUGAAACUCAAAGGAAUUGACGGGGGCCCGCACAAGCAGUGGAGUAUGUGGAUUAAUUCGAAGCAACGCGAAGAACCUUACCAGGUCUUGACAUCGUAUGCAUAGCUCAGAGAUGAGUGAAAUCUCUUCGGAGACAUAUAGACAGGUGGUGCAUGGUUGUCGUCAGCUCGUGUCGUGAGAUGUUGGGUUAAGUCCCGCAACGAGCGCAACCCUUACUGUUAGUUGCUACGCAAGAGCACUCUAGCAGGACUGCCGUUGACAAAACGGAGGAAGGUGGGGAUGACGUCAAAUCAUCAUGCCCCUUAUGACCUGGGCCUCACACGUACUACAAUGGCUGUAAACAGAGGGAUGCAAAGCCGCGAGGUGGAGCGAACCCCUAAAAGCAGUCUUAGUUCGGAUUGUAGGCUGCAACCCGCCUACAUGAAGUCGGAAUUGCUAGUAAUCGCAGAUCAGCAUGCUGCGGUGAAUACGUUCCCGGGCCUUGUACACACCGCCCGUCACGCCAUGGGAGUCGGUAACACCCGAAGCCUGUAGUCUAACCGCAAGGAGGACGCAGUCGAAGGUGGGAUUGAUGACUGGGGUG